CAGAUCUUCAACAGUUUCACAACAGUGGUGGCGGCAUAGCGAUGGCACAAUCACUGGAGCUCCUCCUGAUCUAGCUCCUAAUGCCGGACAACGCCGCUCGCCGGCAAGCGGAGGACCAAAUCAAGCACCUCCCCAAGAAACCCCAGGUAGUCCCCGCCCUCAUCCACCACCUCCGCACUCAUCCACCACCUCCGCACUGCCAAGACCCCCAAUGCCCAUCAGCUUUCCGCCAUCCUCCUCCGCAAGAAGAUUACCGGACGAGCGUGAUGUUCAAGCAGGAUGUGGCCCGUAGAGUUCCGGUGAUGCCCAAGGAGUACCUUGUGGGUCCUAAAUUUGUGAAGACGAAGGAGAGGGAGCUGAGCACGGGACGCGACAAUGUCAGCAUCAACAAUUACAUUGUUUUGCAAUGGUGGAGCAGCGUCGUUGUACCGAGAUUAAGAAUUUAUUGUCUGUCAGGAAACUCUGUCGGUAAUGGCCUCUCAUGGUUGGCUUGGGUUGUUGUG
rnacentral:misc_RNA from 1 species